rnacentral:rRNA from 1 species
UACAGAGGUCUCAAGCGUUGUUCGGAUUCAUUGGGCGUAAAGGGCGCGUAGGCGGUUUACCAAGUCAGGCGUGAAAGGCCUGGGCUCAACCCGGGAACUGCGCUUGAUACUGGCACGCUCGAGUCCGGGAGAGGAUGGUGGAAUUCCCAGUGUAGAGGUGAAAUUCGUAGAUAUUGGGAAGAACACCGAUGGCGAAGGCAGCCAUCUGGACCGGCACUGACGCUGAGGCGCGAAAAGCGUGGGGAGCAAACAGGGAUUAAGAAACCCU